CGUGAGAUGUUGGGUUAAGUCCCGCAACGAGCGCAACCCUUGCCAUUAGUUGCUACGAAAGGGCACUCUAAUGGGACUGCCGUGACAAACCGGAGGAAGGUGGGGAUGACGUCAGGUCAUCAUGGCCCUUAUGGGUAGGGCUACACACGUCAUACAAUGGCCGGUACAGAGGGCUGCCAACCCGCGAGGGGGAGCCAAUCCCAGAAAACCGGUCGUAGUCCGGAUCGUAGUCUGCAACUCGACUGCG
rnacentral:rRNA from 1 species